UACGUAGGGUGCGAGCGUUAAUCGGAAUUACUGGGCGUAAAGCGUGCGCAGGCGGCGCGUUAAGACAGGUGUGAAAGCCCCGAGCUUAACUUGGGAAUUGCGCUUGUGACUGGCGUGCUGGAGUGCGGCAGAGGGAGGUGGAAUUCCACGUGUAGCAGUGAAAUGCGUAGAGAUGUGGAGGAACACCGAUGGCGAAGGCAGCCUCCUGGGCCAGCACUGACGCUCAUGCACGAAAGCGUGGGGAGCAAACAGG
rnacentral:rRNA from 1 species